UACGAAGGGUGCGAGCGUUAUUCGGAAUCACUGGGCGUAAAGGGUGCGUAGACGGUAUGUUAAGUUUGUCGUUAAAGACUCUAGCCUAACUGGAGGGUUGCGAUGAAAACUGGCGUGCUAGAGGAUGAGAGAGAGAAGUGGAAUUCCUGGAGUAGCGGUAAAAUGCGUGGAUCUCAGGAGGAACACCAAUGGCGAAGGCAGCCUCUUGGCUCAUUCCUGACGUUGAGGCACGAAAGCGUGGGGAGCGAACAGG
rnacentral:rRNA from 1 species